AAAUUUUAUUUUCGUCGUAUUGAAGCAUCCCUCAUUAUUAUCGUGUGUUGUUUCCACUUCUAUACUUCACUGGUAAGUGUUCACUCCUUGGUUCCAAGUUCGAAACCCAAUGCUCUCUCGCUCCCUCAAACCUCGUCACAUACUCUUCACUCUCCGUUCAUUGCCGUUAAUCCUCAACCCGAACCCUAACCCAAACCCUUCACUCCGAUCCUCCCCUCACCGUCAAUUCUCUUCUUCAUGGCUUUCCGAACCUGGAAACCCAAUCAUCCAGUGGCCCUCACUUCCCAUACCAAACUCCAACCCAACGUCCGAACCUGCUUCUCCCAACCCAGACGCCUUAUCCGUCAUCGCCAACCUCUUCACCGACCCUUCCGUCUCGCCCGGUCCGCCCCUCCACUCCCGACUCGACCGGUCCGGAAUCGAACCGGACCCGCCCCUCCUGCUCGCGGUGUUCGACCGCUUCGGCUCGUCCCCCAAGCUGCUGCACUCGCUCUUCCUCUGGGCCCAGACACGGCCCGCGUUCCAGCCCGGCCCGAAGCUGUUCGACGCCGUGGUCAACGCGCUCGCCAAGGCCAGGGAGUUUGACUCCGCUUGGAAGCUCGUGCUCGAUCACGUCGACGGAGGGGAAGGAGAGAGCUUGGUUUCCGUUGGGACCUUCGCUAUCAUGAUUCGGCGCUACGCGCGUGCAGGAAUGUCAAAACUUGCAAUUAGAACAUACGAGUUUGGCAGAAAUAACAAGUCAAUUGUGGAUUCUGGCUCAGGAAUGAGUUUGUUUGAGAUAUUGAUGGAUUCACUUUGUAAAGAAGGGUCUGUGAGGGAAGCUUCAGAGUAUUUCCUUUGGAGAAAGGAGUUGGACUUAGGUUGGGUUCCUUCUAUUCGGGUGUAUAACAUAAUGUUAAAUGGAUGGUUUCGAUCGAGGAAACUCAAGCAGGGUGAGAGACUUUGGGAAGAGAUGAAGAAGGAGAAUGUGAGACCAAGUGUUGUGACAUAUGGUACCCUUGUGGAAGGAUAUUGUCGCAUGCGCCGAAUCGAAAAGGCACUUGAAAUGGUUGGGGAUAUGACUAGAGAAGGAAUUGAACCAAAUGCAAUUGUGUAUAACCCAAUAAUUGAUGCAUUAGCAGAAGCUGGAAGAUUUAAAGAGGCCAUGGGCAUGUUGGAACGUUUUCAUGUUCUGGAAAUAGGCCCUACUAAUUCCACAUAUAAUUCUCUGGUAAAGGGGUUUUGUAAGGCAGGAGAUCUUGUAGGUGCUAGUAAGAUUCUCAAAAUGAUGAUAAGUAGGGGUUUCCUCCCAAGUCCAACCACCUAUAACUAUUAUUUUAGGUACUUUUCAAGAUGUGGGAAAAUUGAGGAGGGGAUGAACCUGUAUACAAAGAUGAUUGAAUCUGGUUAUACCCCAGAUCGGCUAACUUACCAUCUUUUGGUGAAGAUGUUAUGUGAGGAAGGGAAGUUAGACUUGGCCGUUCAAGUUAGCAAGGAAAUGAGACAUAAUGGGUAUGACAUGGACUUGGCUACAAGUACCAUGUUAAUUCAUUUGCUUUGCAAAAUGCGUAGGUUGGAAGAGGCUUUUGCGGAAUUUGAGGACAUGAUACGGAGGGGUAUAGUUCCUCAGUAUCUCACUUUUCAGAGAAUGAAAGCUGAGUUAAAGAGACAAGGUAUGACUGAAAUGGCUCAAAAGCUUUGCAAGUUGAUGUCUUCUGUUCCCUAUUCUACCAACUUGCCAGAUACUUAUAGUGAAGACAGAGAUGAUGCACAUGGACGAAGAAAAUCUAUAAUUAAGAAAGCCAAAGCAUUUUCUGAUAUGUUGAAGGACUGUAAGGACCCUAGUGAACUUCGUAAUAAGUAUAGAAGUUCAUCAGAAAAAGCUGUCUCAAAUGCAAACUGUUUGAUAGAGGACAAGGGGGAAAAAGUGCAGGAUGAAAAUCUGUGAUCUUAGUAUCAAAAGGGAGCAAUUGUGGACAGUUUGAACUCGUGGGAAUCAGUUUACAUUUGUUCAAAAAAUUUCUGCUGUACUUCCCUAUGCAAUUUGUAGGCAUCAUAGUAAUAAAGUAAGCAGAUCAGUGCACGAGUUACUAUUGUCUACAUUAGCAUGUGCAAACAGAGUUCGUUAUACAGAAAUAGCCUACACUUUCAGGUAGCUGAAAGGGCCCUUUUCUUAUGGAACAAUGACCACUUUGUCAACUUGAUUGCGCAUAACCGUCAAGUGAUCCUGCCCAUCAUAUUUCCCGCUUUAGAUAGUGUUCAAAGCCAUUGGAACCCGGCAGUCAUCAACCUAACACACAAUAUUAGAAAGAUGUUCUUGGAGAUGGAUGAGAAGCUCUUCAUUUCUUGUCACAAUCACUUUAAGGAAGGACCUUUUAACAAUUCAUUCUCAUGAUAACAACCUUAGAACAACCUUAGAAAAUCUUUCUAGAAUCUUUUAACAUAAAAAUAAAAUAAACUAUUUGUGACAAAAAAAAUAUGAUCAAGCUGUGUUCAUAAAGUUUUUUCAACCAAAUUAUUAAGGUGGGGGAUGGUAAAUAAAUAUUUAAAGACCGCUAACACACUGUUCUUGUCUCGAAAAGUUCACAACCCUUCUCAAGUUAAUGGAUCAUCUA